GACAGCAUAGCCAAGUGGUUACGGCGACAGAUUAGAAUCUUAGCUUCUAUCAUCUGUUCCUCUUUGAGGGCGCAGGUUCGAAUCCUGCUGUUGUCG